rnacentral:rRNA from 1 species
AAAGGAAUAGACGGGGACCCGCACAAGCAGCGGAGCAUGUGGUUUAAUUCGAAGCAACGCGAAAAACCUUACCAAGACUUGACAUCGCAUGAUCGCCAUAGAAAUAUGGUUUCUCUUCGGAGCAUGCAGACAGAUGGUGCAUGGUUGUCGUCAGCUCGUGUCGCGAGAUGUUGGGUUAAGUCCCAAAACGAGCGCAACCCUUGUUGUUAGUUGCCAAUAUUAAGUUAGGAACUCUAGCGAGACUGCCGCGGUAACGUGGAGGAAGGAAGGGACGACGUCAAAUCAUCAUGCCUCUUACGUCUUGGGCUACACACGUGCUACAAUGGCCAUAACAAAGAGCAGCAAUAUAGCGAUAUUGAGCAAAUCUCAUAAAAAUGGUCUCAGUUCGGAUUGUAGGCUGCAACUCGCCUACAUGAAGUCGGAGUUGCUAGUAAUCCCGAAUCAGAACGUCGGGGUGAAUGCGUUCCCGGGUCUUGUACACACCGCCCGU